rnacentral:rRNA from 1 species
CAGGUCACUCCUACGGGAGGCAGCAGUGGGGAAUCUUGCGCAAUGGGCGAAAGCCUGACGCAGCCAUGCCGCGUGUAUGAUGAAGGUCUUAGGAUUGUAAAAUACUUUCACCGGGGAAGAUAAUGACGGUACCCGGAGAAGAAGCCCCGGCUAACUUCGUGCCAGCAGCCGCGGUAAUACGAAGGGGGCUAGCGUUGCUCGGAAUUACUGGGCGUAAAGGGCGCGUAGGCGGACAGUUUAGUCAGAGGUGAAAGCCCAGGGCUCAACCUUGGAAUUGCCUUUGAUACUGGCUGUCUUGAGUUCGGGAGAGGUGAGUGGAAUGCCGAGUGUAGAGGUGAAAUUCGUAGAUAUUCGGCGGAACACCAGUGGCGAAGGCGACUCACUGGCCCGAUACUGACGCUGAGGCGCGAAAGCGUGGGGAGCAAACAGGAUUAGAUACCCUGGUAGUCCACGCCGUAAACGAUGAGUGCUAGUUGUCGGCAUGCAUGCAUGUCGGUGACGCAGCUAACGCAUUAAGCACUCCGCCUGGGGAGUACGGUCGCAAGAUUAAAACUUAAAGGAAUUGACG